AACAACUCAUGCAAGCUCGACUUGUGCAUAUCAAUCGUCCCACUUAACACCCCUGUACUAACUAUAUCGAGUUUAGCCAUGAAUAAUAUGUUGAUUUUUUUACAUAAAAUGUGGUUCCCUCCACAUCUAUAUCCGAACCAAAUUCCCUCCUUUCUUCGUCUCUCCCUCCCCGUUCUUUCUCUCUCUUCUCCCGCUAUUUUCUUCUCUCUACACCCAAAUCAGAUCUUCCCCAACUCCUCAAUCAACUUCAGUUUCUUAACCAAAUCCCAUUUCUCCCAUUGAAUUCUUAUUCCGUUCCCCACCUCUAAUUUUCCUUCCCUUUUCCUCUGCCCCAAACCCUCAAAAAACCUCAAAAAUCGAUUCUUGAAAUUAUAAGAUAAAAGUGAAAAGUCUGGUCAGUCUUUGAGCUUUGGAAAAAGAUAAAAUUAUGCAACAGCAGCAAUCACAGAAGCAGAUUACGAAGAAACAGUNNNNN
rnacentral:lncRNA from 1 species